UACGUAGGGCGCAAGCGUUGUCCGGAAUUAUUGGGCGUAAAGAGCGCGCAGGCGGCUGGUCAAGUCCGAUGUGAAAUCUCCCGGCUCAACUGGGAAACUGCAUCGGAAACUGAUCGGCUUGAAGGUGGGAGAGGGUAGUGGAAUUCCCGGUGUAGCGGUGGAAUGCGUAGAGAUCGGGAAGAACAUCAGUGGCGAAGGCGGCCUGCUGGGCUGUUGCUGACGCUGAGGCGCGGACAGCGUUGGGGAGCAAACAGG
rnacentral:rRNA from 1 species